UACGGGGGGGGCAAGCGUUGUUCGGAAUUACUGGGCGUAAAGGGCUCGUAGGUGGCCAACUAAGUCAGACGUGAAAUCCCUCGGCUUAACCGGGGAACUGCGUCUGAUACUGGAUGGCUCGAGUUUGGGAGAGGGAUGCGGAAUUCCAGGUGUAGCGGUGAAAUGCGUAGAUAUCUGGAGGAACACCGGUGGCGAAGGCGGCAUCCUGGACCAAUACUGACACUGAGGAGCGAAAGCCAGGGGAGCAAACGGG
rnacentral:rRNA from 1 species